rnacentral:lncRNA from 1 species
UUUUUUUUUUUUUUUUUUGUUUGUUGUUUCUAAAGCUUUGAUUUUUCUGUUGUUUUACAUUUGAUUCUUGAAACUCAAUGAGCUUUGGGGACUCAAGAGUGGUCCUACGGCCUUUUAACCUUUUACUGCUUUACUGGUUUACACCAUAGCGUGUGGAUGGAUUGAAAUUCAUUGAUUGUGCAAUUAGAGAUUCUUGGACAGAGGCGUUGAAUGAUAGUUUUCACUAAGGAACCAGUUGUUUGCCCCGUGACUCGUUCAAUUGCUCAGUUGUUCUCGAGAUGCUCUUCACGCAUAAAAAUAUUGAAUUAGGUUCAUUUAAAAAAUGAAGGGAAAAAGUGGUGGUGGGGGAAGGGAGAGGAGGUGGCAGGGAAAGAGGGGGAUGGAGGGGGAAAGAGGGAGGUGGUGGUAGCGGAAGUGAGGGAGAAAACUGGUAGGAGGCAACAGUGAUAGCAGGUGGGGGGGGGGGGAGAUGGGGUAGGUGAUACGGUAAGGGAAGGUGUGUUUUUGGUAUUUUGGGAUAUGGUGUUUUAAUAUACUUCUUCAGCUAAAAUUGCAAAAAAUUUUAUCUAUUAAAAACAUGGGAAAAAAAUGAAAUACCAAACAGAGCCUUAAUUACUUAAAGAAUGAAGGUAAUUUCAAAUGUCAUUUAUGGCAAUGGGAAAGUAAUAUGUGUGAUUAUUACCUAUAUAGAGAAUAAAUCAAAGGUUAAAGUUCAAACUAUGGUUUGCAAAAUAUUUCAAUUGUACUCGUUCAAACAACAUAUAUUUCAGAUGAAAAAGAUCACAUUUAAGGCCAAAAUCUAGUUGUCAUUUUUAACGAGUUCAAACACCAUCCCUGCCACCGCCACAAUCGGUGCCGCCGCCAUCCCUGAGGUAGGAAAAACAGAUUUGAUUUCAACAACAUAUGUGCUUAGCAAGCAUCUAGGCAUUAGACUACAACAGCAGACUGCAGAAACACAAGUAUGAAAGAAAAUAUGAUCAUUUUACCCCCCAAAUACAGGAAACUAAACUUUGGUUUCACAGGCAGUGCAGACGUAGCUUGGAACAGAAAAAGAGUAGAUAGUCUUGGAUCUAGUAGCUCUAUUACCAGUCAAAUGCCGUCAGACAAACUUACCCCACACAAAAUAUAAGAAGCCACAGUGUGUAACCACACAAAUGAACAGAACAAACCUCUUGUCGCUGAACUUCAAGUUUGCAAUGCCAGUCCUGUCACGUCAAGAAAAGCACAUGAAAAUUGAUAAAAUGUUGAGCAGUUUUUCAAGUUAUAGAUCCUAGCAAGAGUUGAAGAUGCUUUUAAAGUUUUAAUAAAACAAUUAAUGAGUUUAAUACAUGGUUAGCCAUCUUGCCCGAGUCCGAUACAACUCGAUAAUAACCAGAACAGAAGGAACCGGUAUGCUAUCAAUCUACAAAUCGUGGAUAAUUCUAUAUUCACGGCGAUUCACUUUGACUGGACCGAUAUUGACUGCUUCGAAUCCAUGAUGCAUGAAAUAAACCAAAAUAUCCAAAUCAACUUGAAAUCGACUCGAUUUUUUUUUUCGGAGUGUGCCUUUUAUAAUAUUUUCUGUUUUUAGUAAUUUUUUCAGAUUUUUUUUUGAAAAUUUUUAUGUGUUAUAACAUACGUAUCACUCGAUAUCUAACUGAUAUAUCGCAACGUAUGUGAAACAACCGCGACUGUGACCCACCACGCAAACCAUGUUUAAAUAGGACCGUUAAGAAAAUUCCAAAAUCUAAAUGAAAAAGUUUAGCACAAGACAAGACAAGCACCAGCUUCCUUUUCUUAGUAACCGAACUAUGACAAAGAAUGAAGACAUGAAGAAGACAAUUACUCUUCAGUCUUCAUACGUCUGUUCUGAAUAUGUUUAAAUUCAACUCAAUCCCAACCCAUUCAAUAUGAUUUGACAUCCACACAGAAAAAGUGCAACAUGUGAUUGGGGAACUAUAUCAGCAAUUCUUCACCGCUUUAUCGAAUUAAUUUAGUUCUAUUCCUUUGCCAGAAACAAUACACCAUUCAUGGAGGAUUUUUUCCUCAAAUUCUCCUCUGUUCCAAUCACUUCUCAUUUUUGGGGUAAGAGAGGGGGAGGGGGUGGUUGUUGGCUAUCCAGAAGGUCAGCCUUUUAGUAUCAGGACUCUAAGGCUUCUCCCAGUAGAAAAAGUAGACAACUAAGAAUUUGACAGCUAAGAGCUUGUAACAUCAGAUCCAGGUUAUAUUACUCCAUGCCAAAACAUGAAACAAAGAAGACAAAAAAAUUUAACACUAACCUAACUCAAAAGGAAUUUGCUUCAACAUGUAACUGAAUUAAGUAUGAUUAACGGACAAAAUCAACAAAACCUAUUUAUAGUGAUUAGUAGAAAUAAAUGGUGAAGGACAAAUAUCUUCUCGAUCCAAAGGCAUGUUCAGUAUGAAUAUGGAGACUAGGAAGAAAUUUUUCAAAUAAUAUUAUUCUCAAACAAAGCAGGAGAAAGAGAGAACCUCGAGCAAGCUGACUUUGUAAACUCCUUGAUAUCACACAGAGUUCUGCAAUUAGGAAAGAAAGUUAACAAGAAUAAUGAAAUCAUGAUUCAAUAAAAUGACCAACAAUGUAUAGACGAGAGGAGCUAUUGAUUGCACCUUUGAACCGCACAAGCGAAAACACAAGUCCCUAUAGUCAGCUGUAAACAGUCACCUGGCAGGGACAAAAAAUUGGAAUUUUUUGAAUAAACAAAACAGAAUCACAUUUGAAAUUCCAAAAAAAAAAUUUCCUUUUUUCCUGAAAAAAUUCACAUUUGAAAAAAAAAAGAAUUUGACAAAAAGAGCUUACUGAAUGAUAAUUCCUUGAAUUCAGCCAUAAGCUCGUGAAAUUCUCUUUUAAGAUGUGUAGCAGACCUGCAUAAGAACAUAAAUCCUCAGGAAUUAGUAGAAGAAAUUGCGAGAAAUCCUGUAUUUCAAUUCUCUUGUUCUCGAAUCAGUUCUCACAUUUUACAAUCUGUUCAACUAAACUAAGAGGUUUCACUUUAGAAAAGUAAGCUUUGCCCUUGAAUGCCCAAAAAACUCUUUGCGGACCAAGCUACUACUGUAUUGCAGGAAAAGCCAAUUGCAGGAUGAGCCGCACUCCUGGAUUUAGUCAUCUUUUAACAGUUAAUAGAAGAGAAUAGAGAUUCAACCUAUCUUAGAACAGACACUUGUUCAGCAAUCCAAGCUCUCAAAACACUAGAUAUGUGUUGAUACUUAUGAACUCUGCCAAAAGUAAAUUAUGGGCCAUAGAAGUAUAUACAAGGAGCCACCAUAUUCGAUGAUCACAUAACUCUUUCAAAUGACUAAUAAAUUUUCCAAAUUGAGGAGAAGAAGACAAAGGAUCUCAUAUUCCAGAAAAGUUCUAUUUGCUCAAAAGAUACAAAAUACCAAUAAAGCAGAUAGUUAGCUCUAACACAACCAUUAUCUGCUAAACUUACAAAAAGGGAACAUAACAUGCAUUAAGGAAAGAGAAAAAAAAGUCAUGAUAUCUGAAUCAAUUUGUAAAAGAACUACCAGGAUGAGAACUGGCGGCGGGCAGGCAGUAAAGCCGUUGCUCUUGCACUUGCACCGCUCCUCGCGGUUGAAGACCCCGCAAAACCCGCUGAGAAAGGGCCAACGGGGGUAAAAUAUUUGCCUAAAUUCCGCCUGAAACGAAUACAUACGAAGAAAAAAUUUAGGCUAUAAGAUAUGUAUACAUAUGUGUUUGUUGCAUUAGAAAUAAAUUAAAUUAUAAACGAAAUCGAAAGAUAAUCGAACAAAAUGCCAUUCGAUCUAACCGAAGAUGCAUCGCCAUCGCUCUUACUGAGUCACUGCAAAGUCCAGAAAAUCUACAAAGGAAAAAAAAAAAAAAAAAAAAGAUCAAAGAGCAGACAUGUAAAUAACCAAGCAUCAAUUUUUCUGUUGUUUUACAUUUGAUUCUUGAAACUCAAUGAGCCUUGGGGACUUAGAGUGGUCCUACGGCUUGUUAGCCUUUUACUGCUUUACUGGUUUAUUCCAUAGCGUGUGGGUUGAUUGAUGAUAGUAUUCACCAAGGAACCAGCUGAAGGGCAUAAAAAUAUUAAAUUAGAUUCAUUACAAAAAUUCAGGGAAAAAGUGGCGGCAGGGGAAGGGGAGGAGGUGGCAGGGAAAGAGGGGGAUGGUGGUGGCCGGCAGUAGUGACAGCAAAGGGAGAGACGGAAGUCGUGAUGGAAGAGGUGAUAUAUGGUGAGGGAAUGUGGUGAUAGAAAAGGGCACAAGGGGUGUUUUUGGUAUUUUGGGGGCAUAUAUAUAUAUAUAUAUAUUUUUUUUUUUGCCCUUUGGUUUCCCUGGGUUUUGUAGGCAUAUAUGCGAUAACUAAACAGCUCUUACUUUUGCUUGACAAGGACGAAAUCUUGGAUUUUUGGAGACGCUGUUAGGAAAUCAGAGCCAUGGCGAUGCAGCAGCUGGGGUAUUACUUUCCUUCUUCUUGUCCUCCCCCCCCCCCCGACCCCCUCUCUCUCCCGGCGGUAUCUAGAGAGAAAAUGAGUUUUGAGAAUUUCUUCCUGUAAUCGAGCAGUUCGGGUUUGUCUUUUCUUUUGGCAGCCGCAAUGCGGGUGCAUGCUUUGCGUCGAGGGCGGUGUCAGCUGGUUUGGGGGCUUCAUCCGUUAAGAGAGGAAAAACAAUAACUCUGCCACCUGCUCGCAGUUUCUGUUCUGAGUAUUCUCUACUACACUGGAUGCCCUUUCCUUGUUUUAUUUCCUGUUGUAUUGACUCUGCUAAGAACAUGUUGGUACUCUAUUAUAUAAAGAAUGCAAGAUACUCGUUUUCCCUUUUUUUUUAUUGUACUGAUUUAGUGUUAUUCUUUGCGCCUGGAAGUUUAAAGGAUUGUAUAUAUCGGUCUUGGAUGAACAUGAAGGUAAUAAAAUUAACCUUCAUAGAUGUUAAAAGGAAAAAACACCUUCAUAAAUGUUAAAGGUGGGGUUCAAUAUUAGGUAAUGAUACUUAAUUUAUUUGUACUAGAUUCAUUCAUAGUAUGCGCUUGGUGCAUACCUGUUGACCCAGUCGUCGUAAAUUUGUUUUCAUACUUGGCAUUCCUUCUAAUCGAGUUAUCUGAGCCAAGUCUGGGUCAACUAAGUUGGCUUAUUUGCAUCUUCUAUCAUUGCUUCAUCCUGGAAAUCAAAUGCUUUAGCUUACAAUAUAUAUAUAUAUAUAUAUAUAUAUAUAUAUAUAUAUUUAGCUUAUAUAUAUAUAUAUAUAUAUAUAUAUAUAUAUAUAUAUAUAUAUAUAUAUAUAUAUAUAUAUAUAUUUUUAUGAAUUCCUUCAGAAGUUGAUUUUCUCUAGCGAAUUGUUAAUGCCGUGUGAAGUAGGCAUUGUGGAAAACAAGGAAGAUUGCUUAAUGAUUCAAUCAACCUUUAGGGCUUUCAGAUAUUGUGUCACCACGUACGACAUAACUAGUAUUUUGGUGUUAUUGUCAUCACUAGGUCAGCAUGGGCUUUGCAUAUUCUUGUUGUCUACCUCCACAUCAUGAAAAUGAAAAAUACAUAACCAGAUUAUAACAUUGAACAAGGUGGCACUGACAAAAACUUGUGAAGCAGACUUGCAUAAAAUCAUCACCAGCUUUAAAUUUUCCCAAAGAAACGAGCAGAUCCUUGCUCUUGCUUUCGUCUACUGUUUUUUGCCUUGCCAUUUUGCCAUUGAUGUUGACUUGGAAUUAGGACUCCAGUUGUUCCACGGCAAUCUAUGUGUCAUGAUUUGUGACUGGUCUGCUUCUCUUAGCAUUUUAAGCAACAGUUUUGUCUCUUGAAAUAGUGAUCCACCCCGCAAGCUUUGCAAAGCAAUAAUAGCCAGACCUUUUCAAACACUCAACCCUGGACCCUGUUACAGGGGCAAAACAAGUACCUCGGUGCUUAGGACUCAUAAUGCAGGAAUCCAACUCUACCAGCCCAAGCAAUGUCAAAUCCAGUCAAUCACAAAAGCUGAAUGAAUGAAGGCUCAUCAGCCUUUGUGUUGCAUAUAUGUAAACCUAUAUAUGUCUCAGUGUGUAGGUAAACUUAUGUAUCCCAAAGAAUACACGAUGUAUGUAAUCAGUAAAUUCUGGCGUAAUUGCAUUUUCGAACAUCUCAAUAUUCCUCUAUUUGUAAGUUGUAACCCUCUCUCUCUGUACGAAGUGCUAAGUGGCUCUAUAACCUUUGGUAUUUGUGGCUUUCUCUUCUCUUUUCUCCUGUCGGUACAAAGUGUUAAAAAGAGAGGACAAGAUACCAGAUUAGAUAUGUUAAUAAUGGAAGGUCAUAAAAGAAUGAAAGAAUUUUUAGGAGAGGGGGGGGGGGGGGGGGAGAGGCAGGGGUUUGUUGUGGGACUGAGGGUGCUCCUCAUUGAGAUUUGAGUUCUUCACCUUUUACCUAGCCAGAGCAUUAUUUGACUUGUCCUGUUGUGCAGUGCUACUCCACGUUUGAAGGAAAGGCUUCAUGAUCGCGUGCUUAAAUUUUUGGGUAAGAGUUACAGCAGGAUUGUUAGUUUGUUUAUUUUCAUCAAGUGCUUUUCUUUUCUGAUUGUAUUUUUUUUUUGUCCCCUUAUACUGUCAGACUACAUCGCUCCGUUGCCUCUACUGAUGUUUGGUGGAUGUCUUGAUGUCUAUUAUGACUAUAAGGAGGAGAGGUACUUGAUUCAAUUGUUUUUUUUUUUUUUUUAUUUUCUCUUAUCUACUUCAGGACAUUUUUUGGCAUUUGAAAUGAUUUUCUUUCAACGUUGUUUAAUUUCAAUUUUUCAGCCGCAUUGUUGAUAGACGAGUUACUUAUUUUAUUGCUGCAAAUCUUACUCUUCUUUAACCUCAAAAUGACAUAUAGGACUUACCAAGCAUAUUUUUGUGCACCAUUUUUCUUUAUAUCCUUUGGUUGAAGACAUCUGGGACACGGUACAGCUCUAUAAAGGCUACUUCUUGCACUUUUUGAUGACGAAGUCAAAAUUAAAAUAAGCUGUUCAAUGGGAAGAGAUUUUCUUUGCCUCUGCAUUUGUAUUUCAAGUUCAAAAUUUUAACCACUGCUAAUUAGAUUUCUUAUUUCACCCUACUGUAAAGGCAAAUAGUUUGUUAUGUCUUUGCAUUUCAUGCUUGUCAUACAUAUUGAUUGCAGUAGUUGCAUGCAGUCAGGUUAUUAGACUUUAUGGCAAUAGGCAAACAGAACAACAUGCUGAUUAUACAACUGUUUUCUUUAUCUUCUGUCAAGUUUCUGAAUAUCUAUUGGGAAUAUUUUCCUUUAUGUCUUUGAAAUUCACGCACAGUACACGCUUGCCCAAGUUUUUGACUUAUGAGCACCGGAAAGUUCGGAGUUCAUUUGUUUGUUUCUUUUUUUUUUGUAGCAACGAUAAUAGUUUAUAUAACCUAUUCUAAUCUAAUCUAAGGAGACAGAAAGGGGAAAGCCACAAAUAGUGGCUAGUGGGAGGCAAGGAUCAAAUCCUUGACCUCCAACCUCUACCAGGACUUAAAGGCGUCUUGGUGACCUUGGGCUGUUGGCUUGGAGUUCAUUUGUUGUGUUGCUGAAAUGCUUUGCUGCAAUUUGAUUGAUGGCUCUGUUCCUGCAAAUUGGCUUGCCAGGAGAUUAUAAAAGAGCUAAAAGCAUCUACUUGCCUAAUCUGAAAGAAUCUUGCUAGAGUUGCUGAGUUUGCAUUUUAGAAAAGAUGAUUGCACUGUAAAAUGAAUGGAGAUUGGUAAAGGAAGUUGGCGGUGAGAUCGUGGUUGUGUUUUUAGGUAACUUGGAUUUUGUGCGUGCAAGCUGAGAAAAAAGCUGAGAGAUAGGGUCAUGAAUUUGUUCUAUAUUUGUACUGUGGUCAUGCCUUUGAAUGUAGUGUACCUCUAAGAUUUAAUCUUUAUCUCUGCUCCUACGGGUGUAGAUAGUCAGAUGCGUUGAUAUGAUACUUUGCUUACAGUUGAUUCUUUGUCCACCUUGUCUCAGUAUUUUGUGCUAGAUGCUGUUAUAGUUGCUGGUUACUUAGCCGUAUGUUUGCUGACUAAGUUAAGCUUGCUAAAUGAGCGAACUCAGCUACUUAGCAGAGGUGAUUUUCAGGCAUUUAGGUGCAGUUUCAUCAAUGGGUUAGUCUUAUAGCUUGUAGUAGUGGUUUUGUAUUUGUAUAUGCUUACUCCACAUAUCUACUUGCACGAUUAAGGGGAUAAUGGUAUUGAACCUAGGGCCUUGGUGAGGGCACCUCACUUUGCUGGUUGUGGGACGGUUACACAGGAAAAUUAUGUAAUACCCUCUUUAAAUGCCUUGCAUUGAGCACAUCAUAUUUAGCUAUGUUUAUAUCAUGUUGUUGGCACAAAUUUGUAGAUGUUUAUAAGCUAGCUGUAUUUGUCUACAAUAUGAAAUAGCACUCCUUUAUACAUAUGGACUUUCCACUGUGCUUUCAUGUAUGAAUUUUUCAAAUUGAUUAGAGGGAUGUCCUUGAUGUCAUGAACUAUUACCUCCUUUUCUGGAGUAACAUUUGAAUUGUAAGUUCUCAUGGUAACUGGUAAAGAUUAAAUAAGGGGGCUAGACAAUAGUUGGACAAGAUUUGGCAGGUCAAAGAUGAUUGUUGUUCUUUUGCUUCAUUUGUAGUUACUUGAAAAAAUGUGUACAACUGAAUUAGUGGCAUGCACAACACAACAACAUGAAAUUCAUUUUCUGAACCUCAGGGAUCGUGGUGGCUUCAGCGACGUUAACGGCGGUGGCAGCGUCAGGGAGGGUUGAAAGUAGUAGCAAGGAUAUUGUUGAUUGAACUAAGCUAAGACAAUUAAUUUGAUACCUACCAUCUUGUAUGGUUGUAGUAAAUGCAAGAAUGCUAGUAUUACAUUCUUAAUCCUCCUAUGUACGUACUCUUUUUAUUGCAUGGAUUCUCUUUUUAAUAAUAUAUAUGUAAUGUAUUUUCAGAACUAAAGAAGAUUGAUGCAUAACUUUCCUCAGAACUAUCGUACUCGUAUCCCAAAAAAAAAAAUAAAGCAUUAUUACAUGAAUUUAAGUUAAGGGAACAUCCGAAAUCAGAAUAUGAAGCAUUCUUGAUAGGAAAAACGAGAAUAUGAGAAACAUUAUUGGAAGGUUUCUAUCAUUUGGUUCUCUACUGCCCAUGGAACCAAAAUUGUGCACACUUAAUAAAUUGAUGAAAUUAAAAUUAUCUAAAACAACCAAAAACACGAGACCCAUCGAUGGUUUUGGCUUCGUUUGAAGUUAGAUAUCUAUCAUCAUAGCUCUUUUCGUGCGCAUACAAAUUCAUUGAGGGAAAAUCGUUCGAAAAGUUUCACAUUUUGUCAAAUGAAAUUUUUUUUUUUUUUUUUGCUCUUCACUUUUAAAAUGUUAGUUUUACGGCCCUUAAAAAAUUAAAUUAGCAAAAUUUAAGUUUGGUCCAAACUUAAGUUUUCGACUACUUUUUAAUCUGAAAUCAUCAUGUAAUCCGCAUGUAGUCAUUUUUUAUGUACAAAAAGAUCAUAUCUCACUUUUUUAGUUGUAAAAAUGAUUAUAAAUUAAGUCAAAUCUCACUUCUUUAAGAAAAAAAAAUUUAUGGUUCGGGUCAAAUCCUUUUUUUAAAGGGCAAAAAAAAAUAUGGAUCGAGUCAUUGAUUUAACUUCAAAUGGGAUUUAACUUUUUUGCCUCAAAAAAAUGAUCAUGUGUGGUUCAUGUGAAAGUAGCUAUAUAUAUAUAUAUAUAUAUAUAUAUAUAUAUAUAUAUAUAUAUAUAUAUAUAUAUAUAUAUGUAUGUAUAUAUGAAAGUAGCUAUUUUAAUUAGAGUGUUUCUCACUCCUAUGUGGCAUGCUUAAUUGAAGAGAAUUAAUGGAUUAUAGGUCAUUUGGGUUUAACCAAUAUUAAAUAUUAUAUUUUACGUUUAAAAAUUAUUCCUAAUUUUAAAAUCAAUUUAAAAAAUAAUUAAUCUUAUCUUAAUAAUAUCUAAAAUGACUUUUAAAAAAAACUAAUCUUAUCUUAAUGAUAUCUGCUUUCUAUCAAAUUAUUACUUAGAACUAUAGUAAAACCUUUCUCAAAUUACAAUUAUUAAAAUCUUACAUAAUCCAUAAAUUACGUCCUUUCAUCACCAUAUCAAUGAUUAAUAUUCAAAUUGCUCAUUAUCUCUUCCCUUAAUUUUGAAAUAACUUAGUGUAAAAAAGAGAAUUAAUUAUUACACCGACAAAAUUAUCAAUAUUGUUGAAAACUAAAUAUUUACUGAAGAAAAAAAAAUGGAUUGCUGGAUCUUUUCUAUUUAAUUAAAUGUGAAUAUAUAGUUUUAGGCUUAUGGUCAUUAUAAAAUUUAAAUUAUCUAAAAAAAUAUUUAUAAAAAAAAAGAAUAUUUACCAAGUUUUUGAUAUGGGAUAUAUUAUCUGAUGUAUACUAUCAUAUUAUAGCGAAAGUAUGCAAACAAAUUUUGAAAAAUUAGUAAAUAAUUGAAUAUUUAGAAUAAAUUAAAUUUUAAAGUUAAUAUGAAUGGACAUGUAGGAUUGUUGUUAAUUUUCAUAUUUAAAUUAUUCAUAUUUGUAUAAAUUCAUAAUAAAAAAAAAAGACCAUGCUAAGGCACAAGCAAAAUUCUAAUCUCUUACUUAAAUUCCCAAACAAUAUUAAAACCUCUUUUGUUAUUUUUUGUUCUUUUCGUUACUUUAAUAACUUAAAGUUUCCCAUCCCUUCUUUUAUUUUCUAAAGUCCCAAACUAGCCACGGGUAGGGGCGGGGUUGGGGCGGGGGACCCCUCCCCCAUCCCCCGCCCCGCCCCGCCCCGCUUCCCCCGCGGGGUUAAUAAAAUUUUUCCCGCUACGUUAAUAAAAUUUUAUUAUAGUUAAAUUUUAAUAAAUAAUCAAGUACUAAAAUAUCAACACAUCAUCAAGUUAUUAUUCAUUUUAAUUUUACAAUUGAAACUCAUAAAAACAAUCAAACAAAAAUUAUUUGAAUACAAUCCAACAUGAUGAAAUAAAUACAACUAAAAUAGUUAAGUUUUCACUUUUGGUACAAAUACAAUCACUAAUUCAUUAUUGUGUUUGUGCUUUUUUUUUUUAGAAAAAAGUGUUAUUCUAUUAAGUAUAAUUAGAAAUUUAGUAUAAAUGUAUUAGUAAAUUUAGUAUAACUAAUUAAUAAAUUCUAUUAGUAGACAUGUCUAAUUAUUCGUAUAAUUGAUAAUAUUAAUUAUAUUACAUACACUAAUAUACAUUAUAUAAUAUAUCUAAUUAAUAAUAUCAUUAUCAUAAGUUUAUAACUAAUUAAAUUACAUAUUAUAUAUAAUUAUAUAUAUAAUUUUUUUUUGCGGGUGGCGGGGCGGGGGUAUACUCCCCCGCUCCCCGACGCGUUUCUAAACGGGGGGAAAAAAUUCCCCCCCGCCCCCGCCCCAACCCCCGUCCCGAGAGCCCCUCGCGGGGCGGUUGUCCGCGGGCACCCGUCCCCAUUGCCAUCCCUAGCCACGGGAGUUUUUAGUGAGGUAAAAGAAAGGAAAGGAAAAUUGAGCAACAAUUAAAAAAAAAAGAUUUCUGCUCAGAUCCGGACAGAAAUGGAGAGGAACUUGCGAGAAGCCUAUCAAAAUUUUUCGAAUACCCAUCUUGUCCUAAUUAAAUUGUUGAACAAAUUUUUAUGACCUUUUUGUAUGUCCAAAAUGAUUUCACGUCUUUCCAUAAUGCCUAAACAGUAUUACGAACUCUUCUUUUCUCUCAUAAUUUAAGUUUUCUCUUGUUUCCUUUUCCAUCCUAAACUCCAAAGCCUUAAAUGAAUAUCACUUUUGGCUCACCCAGAAAGUUGACUAACAAAACAAGAGGAAGAAAAGAAAAAUUGAAAGGAUUCUAGCAGUAUAUACACCCAAACUAGUUGUCUGGAUUAAAAUUUGCAAAUAUCGGAUGUCCCUUCCGAAUGUGUUUUUCAGAACACUUUUUAUACUGCAAUAUAUACUUUAUAUACGACAGAACGUACUUAAGAAAGAUUCUGAAUUUUUUCUCCCCUCCAAUUUAUGAGUAUCCAAACUGAUUCAGCACCCUGCACUACUACAGAUAAAAAAAAAAAAAAAAAAAUUUAACAAAGAUGAAAGAGGCCUUCUGUUAUAAAUAUUGUACAUAGUUGUUUCUUGGGGUGGUUACUGCUUUCCACAGAAAUACGCACAACUUAAAAAGGUAUGACAAAAUUGCUCACCUUGAAAGAGAUUCUGUGAGAAAUGAUUUGCCCGGAAGGCUGGCAACGCUCCCUGUAAAGACUAGCAUAUUCACCCACCGAAAGCUGCAGCCAAUAUUGCUCUCAUCUCGCAGAAGGUUCUUUUGCCCCGUUUCAUCUUCUGUCCCAGAUAGAAUAUGAACCAUACCCAGCAUUGAACGGAACAACCAAAUAAAUAGUGUGUAAUAAUUCAAAGAAGCAAGCAAGCAAGCUAGUUUGGAUCGGUGAAUCAUCAGUAAUGCUAAUGCAAAGCACUACUGUAUGUGAUGGGUGUAUCUCGACUUGCAACUGCAUGACAUUUUAUGCUCGACUUUAUGCGCCCACUGGAACGCUCAUCAUUCAUUGCUGGAGGUCCUCAGGCGCCCAUUCCCUUUCAAUGAGCAACAAGCUACACUUUAUGCCUAACAAGCGCGCACUCCCGUGUUCAAAAGCCGUAAACGGGGUUAGAUUCGUACUCCUCCAUGCUAAAUAUAUAUUUUGAUACAUUAAUAAGGAAAAUUCGUUUAAGGUGUCUCUAAUAUUUUGUCUGUUAAAAAUUUUUAUGUUUAUUUUCAAAAUGAUAUUUUUACGUCCCAUAUAAAAUCAAAUCGAUAAAAUUUGAUCCAAACUUAAAUUUUCGAUCACUUUGUAUCAUAUGAAUCCAUUACGUAACCCUUACAUGAUUUAUUCUUUUGUAGUUAACAGAGUGACUCAAUUUAUAUACAUUUUUGCCACUAAAAAUGUAGGAUACAACCCAUAUCAUGUUAUCUUUUUCUUUAAAAAGUUGUGGUCUGAUCUAAUUUAUAUUUGUUUUUGCCACUAAAUGAGUAAAAUUUGUACAUAAAAAAUAAUUGCACGUGGGUCGCACGGUAAUUUCAAGCUAUAAAGUCGUCGGUAACUUAAGUUAGAAUAAAAUUUUAUUAAUUUAAAUUUAUGAGGGACGUAAAAUUAACAUUUUAAAAAUAAAAAAAUGAAAAGAAAUUAAUUGACAAGAUAUGAGAAAUGUUUUAAACGGUUUUCCCAAUUAAUAACUCAUGCCAUUGACACUUGUACAAGAUGUCGAUUGUUAGAGGUGUUGAAUCUUUUGGGUGCACAAAUUUAAUCUUCUUAAAACCAACCUACGUUGGUUAACAUGUAUAGUUCACUUGUAUGAAGCAUUGGUGCCUUUUUAGACUAGAGGUUGCUCGGUCUCCUCUAGGUCACUGUUUUGAAAAUUGAAAAUGCCCGGUUGGUUAAAGUAUCUGAUUGAAUUGUAAACCAGUUAAGUUAUUGUGUCAAUCCGAUUCACUAAUAAAAUCAAUCCAAAGCUGGUUAAAAUCGCUCACAACUAAUAUAAUUGGAAUGUCGAACCAAUUUUUACAAAAAAUUUCUUCUUCUUUUUUGGUACAUAUCAAUUUUGUCCAAAUUAUUCAAUAUUAAAAUUUUGAAGUACAAGUUUUUGUAUUUGAGGUCUACAGUAACGCAUUCCAAAAAAUAUCACUAAAAACACGUAUUAAUUCGUACAAUCUCAAGCAUAUAUAAUAAAAAUAUAAAAAAUUUCUUUCUUUUUGCACUUAUUACCCCACCUUCCAUCACGUACCAUCGGCCAUCCCUCCUCCUCUCUCACCCUCUUUCUCUCCCUUCUUCCAUUGCCACUACCACUCCCGCCAGAUUAAGGGUAGAAGGGAGGGAGGGGGGUUGCAGGGUAGAAGAGGUAGGACGGAGGAGGUGAGGGAAAGAGGAGAAGGGAGGAGUGACGAUGCUACAGAGGAGGGUCAAAAACUUUUAUUAAAAAAUAUUCUAAUAUAAUUUUAAAUUUUAAAAACAAUCUAAAAUAUAUUCACAGUAAUGAGUUUUUGACAUACUCUACUACAUCAUAGAUAACGUAGCUCUAUUUUCAAGGUACGCAUUUGUUUGAUCGCGCAAAAAAAAAAAAGGGUGUCUAGCAACUAGCAAGCGUCGACCGAAUUGUCAUGUACCGAUGAUACUCACGAGUUGGAAAUCAGAAUCUUAUCCACAUUGAAAAAUUGGAUGCCGAUCAGCCUGUUUGAUAUGGCUGUUUAAUCAGCUAGCAGUCCAGUUUACUGAGAAACCAAAAGAGGUUUUAUAACACCGUCUGGCCCGGAGCCCUUAUUGUCUAACGGGAAUAAUUGCUCUACUCCUAUCCUAUCCUAUUAGGAAGGAGAGCCGCCCAACUGGGCAUGUAGUGGAAGUGGAGGUGGUUUUCAAUACCAAACAAGCACACUUUAAAAUUUGCUUUAAUUUACAUACACUCUCUUGCGGUUUGUUUGGCCAAAUUAACGAGUUAUACCUCAAAGUCUGGCGAAAUUUCAUUUAUCUCCCUUUGUCAAUGACACCAUUUUUGGUUCUUCUAUUUCUUGAAAGAGGUUUCUUGAUCCUAACUCGAUCUCUCCACUUUUUUCCAAUUCUAGCAUCUGCAGGCUUGAUGAUGCGUCCUCUGUGUUUGAGUUUGAUUGUCGUGACAUAAGCAAUCAGAAAUCCUAUCUACUCAAGUCGGGAGCUGAGUAACAAUACCUUAUUUUUGUUGAAAAAAAGUUUCCAAAAAACAAAAGGAAAAAAAAAAAAAGUCAAACUUUAAUGUUCAUCUACCCUGAAUCGUUAAUGUUUCUUCUGUAAUAAGGUUCGUUCCAUAAAUAAUUCUUCAUUCAAUUAGAACAGUUCAAAUAGAAGAAAGGGACUUCAGUUUAUGAGGAAAGCCAAUAGAACUUAAGUUCUUUGCAUAGAUUGCUUACAAAUGAGUAAGCCAUUAUUGAGCCAGCAGUAAAAGAGAAAGGUUUCUUUUUUUUUUUCUUUUUUUUUUUUUUAAAAAGUGUUGGUAUGGUACAAAGAAAUAACAGAGCCAUUAUUGGCAUACACAGUAUGUUGGGCAAUAUUCGGUGAAAAUCUUUUGGUGCUUGGGAAAAGAAUUUAAUCGACUGUAUAGGACAACGCUCAAAACCAAUGAAAAGUAUUUGAUCUGGGCUUAAAUUCAAAUAUAGAUACACGGUUUUAUCUGGCCUUUUUUGAGUUUAAUUUUGUUUUGCUAAGGAGCAAUACGUUUUAAUUGGGUGAACCUGCCAUGCCCGCUUGCAGGAGUCAUGCUGCCGGAAAUUAAGGUCGGGAUAAGAUAUUGUUGGCCAAUUUUUUAGGACUUCGGUUGGUUUACAAAUUAAGAGUCUGUUUGAAGUUUUGAGUUUUGGGGGAUCUUUCCGUCAUUUAGCCAAAAAUUAUAGUCACAGCCGCCCGUCUCUCGCUGCAACUUUCGUAUCUGGUCUUCGGUUUUUUUUUUUUUUUUUUUUCUUGCGGAUUUUUCUGGACUUUGCAGAGACUGAAUAAGAGCGAUGGCGAUGAAUCUUGGGUUAGAUCGAAUGGCAUUUUGUUCGUUUAUAUUCCGAUUUUGUUUAUAAUUUAAUUUAUUUCUAAUGCAACAAUCACAUAUGUGUGUGUAUAUAUAUAUAUCUUUUAGCUAGCCUAAUUUUUUUUUGUUUCAGGCGGAAUUUAGGUAAAUAUUUUACCACCGUUGGCCCUUUCUCAGCGGGUUUUGGGGGGUCUUCAACCGCGAGGAGCGGUGGAAGUGCAGGAGCUAUGGCUUUACUGCCUGCCCGCCGCCAGUUCUCAUCCUGGUAGUUCUUUUCCAAAUUGAUUCAGAUACCAUAACUUUAUUUCUUCCUCUCCGUACUGCAUGUUAUAUUCACUUUUGAAAGUUUUAGCAAAUAAUGGUUGUGUUAGAAGCCCUCUUUUUAUACCCAAAGAAAAAAGGAAUUUAGGGCUAACUAUCCGCUUUAUUGGUGUUUAGUAUCUCUUACUGAGCAAAAACACGUAUAGAACUUUUCUGGAACAUGAGAUCCUUUGUCUUCUUCUCCUUAAUUUGGAAAAUUUUUAUUGGUCAUUUGAAAGAGUUAUGUGAUCAUCAAAUACGGUGGCUCCAUGUAUAUACUUCUAUGGCCGGUAAUUUACUUCUGACAGAGUUCAUAAGUAUCAACACAUAAGCUAGUGUUUGGAGAGCUUGGAUUGCUGAACAAGUGUCUGUUUUAAGAUAGAUUGAAUCUCUAUUCUCUUCUAUCAACUGUUAAAAGAUGACUAAAUCCAGUAGUACGUUUCAUCCUGCAAUUGGCUUUUCGUUCUAGUAUCAGGCCAUACAGUAGUAGCUUGGUCCGCAAAGAGUUUGUUUGGGCAUUCAAGGGCAAAGCUUACUUUUCCAAAGUGAAACCUAUUAUUUUAGUUGAACAGAUUGUAGAAGUUUGAGAACUGAUUUGAGAACAAGAGAACCGAAAUACAUGAUUUCUCGCGAUUUCUUCUCCUAAUUCCUGAGGAUUUAUGUUCUUACGCAGGUCUGCUAGAAAUCUUAAAAGAGAACUUCGCGAGCUUAUGGCUGAAUUCAAGGAAUUAUCCUUCAGUAAGCUCUUUUUGUCAAAUUCUCUUCUUCUUUUUUUCAAAUGUGAAUUUUUUCUGCAAAAACGAUUUUUUUUUGGGUUUUCAAAUGUGAUUUUGUUUUGUCUUUUCAAAAAAUUCCAUUUUCUUUUUUCCUGCCAGGUGAGUGUUUACAUCUGACUAUAGCGUCAAGUGUUACUGCUUAUCUGCUUCAGAGGUGCAAUCAAGAGCUCAUCUCGUCUAUACAUUGUUGGUCAUUUUAUUGAAUCCUGAUUUCAUUAUUCUUGUUUAACUUUCUUUCCUAAUUGCAGUACUGUGCGUGGUAUCGCGAAGCUUACGAAGUCAGUUUGGUCGAGGUUCUCUCUUUCUCCUUCUUUGUUUGAGAAUAAUAACGUUAUUUGGAAAAUUUCUUCCUAGUCUCCGUAUUCACAUUGAACAUGUCUUUGGAUGGAGAAGAUAUUUCACAUAUGGUCCUUCACCCUAUUUAUUUCUAGUAAUCACUGUAAAUGGGUUUUGUUGAUUUUGUCCGUUAAUCACACUUAAUUCGCUUACAUGUUGAAGCAAAUUCCUUUUGAGUUAGGUUAGUAUUAAAUUAUUUGCUUUCUUUGUUUCAUGUUUUGGCAUGGAGUGAUAUAAUCUGGAAUUGUCCAAGUAGUCUUAGUUGUCUACUUUUUCCACUGGCAGAAGCCUUAUAGUCCCGAUACUCCAAAAAUGAGAAGUGAUUGGAAUAGAGAAGAAUUUGAGGGAAAAAAAAAACCUCCACGAACGGUGUAUUGUUUCUGGCAAAGGAACCGAACUAAACGAAUUCAAUAAGGUGGUGAAAAUUUGCUGAUAUAGUUCCCAAUCUUAUGUUGCAUCGUUUCUGUGUGGAUGUCAAAUCAUAUCGAAUGGGUUUGGAUUGAUUUGAAUUUAAGCAUAUUCAGAAAAGCCAUAUGAAGGGCAAUAGAUACUUGUCUUGUGCCAAACUUUUCGUUUAGAUUUUGGAAUUUUCUUAUUGCUCUUAUGUAACUCGUUAAUUACCUUCAACUCUUGCUAAGAUCUUUUAACUUAAAAUACUGCUCAACAUUUGUUCAAUCUUCGUGUGCUUUUCUUGACUUGACAGGACUGGCAUUGCAAACUUGAAGUUCAGCAGCAAGAGGUUUGUUCUGUUCAUUUGUGUGGUUACAUAUUGCAGCUUCUUAUAGUUUGUGUGAGGUAAAUUGGUCUGACGGCAUUUGACGGGUAAUAGAAUCACCAGAUCCAAGACUAUUUAACUCUUUUUCUGUUCCAAGUUACAUCUGCAUUGCCUGUGAAGUCAAAGUUUAGUUUGCUGUAUUUGGGUGGUAAAAUGAUCAUCUUCUUUCAUACCUUUGACUUGUGUUUCUGCAGUCUGCUGCUGUAGUUUAAUACCUAUAUGCUUGAUAAGCGCAUAUGUUGUUGAAACCAAAUCUGUUUUUCCUACCUCAGGGAUGGCGGUGGCACUGAUGGAGGCAGUAGCAGGGAUGAUGGUGUUUGAACUCAUUAACAUAAUCUGCUUUUUUUUUUUUUCCUUUUUGGGGACAAAAUGUCUACCUUCUGUGGGAAAUGCAGGAUGAUGUGACGAUGUCUGUUCUUAAAUUUGGUGCUAAAAUACCUGUGGAGUAACUGCAACAGGAUGAUUUGUAGAGAGGACAUUGACCGGCAACUUGUAUUUAGUGGGCUGAAGUUAAAAAUUGACCUUGAAGCCUUUUAUGUUUUACAUAUACAGCUCUGUUUGUGGAGUUUAAGCUUUGCUUCAAUCAGGUACGGGCCAGUUUACCUAAUUGAAACGAAGCAUAAACUCUAUUUUUUUUUUUGUUGGCAAAGCUCAUGCUGAGUCGGCUCAUUUAAAACUUUGAAGUUUUUGGUUUAAAAGGCUUCAAAUCCUUUUUUCUUUCUUCAUUUAUAUACCCUAAAGGGUUAAUUACAUUUAUCUUCCUUAUAGUUUAGCCAAACUACAAAUCAAACCUUGAGAUUUGGACAAAUAACUCUAACCCCCCUAUCAGUGACACCUUCCAAACUCUAUAGACGGAAAGAACGAAAUGUCAAAACUGACAUCCCUUGGAAAAUGUUAAACCCAAUCCAUCCAUAUUCAUACUUCACAGUCACCAUCGUAUGCCCUCUCCUUUCAUUCUUUUUCAUGUCUCUUCUUAUCCCUCGUACAGUUUCAUCUUCCUAUAACCCAUUUGGCUAACUUCUGCAGUGGAUGCACUAUGACUUCUUUCCUCUUUUCUCCACCCUCCAUCGCUGCCUUCUCUUCUCCGCGAGUCACACUAUCUCAUGAGACAAGAAGAAAACAUAUCCAUACCUAAUUUCCAAAUCCAUGGACAGAAGGGCAUGUAUUGGCACUUUGGUUUGAGAUCCAAGGUUUUGACAUCCCAUGACUUGGUUAAUCACUUCGAUCCUCACAAUUUAGUUUUAGCAAUGCAAAUAUCAAGAUCUAGUCUGUUGUAUGGGUUAAUAAAUUUAUUGUUGUUAUUUAUUUUCUGUUUGGGGAUUUUUGUUGGAUUUUAGUGUUGAAAGUAUUUGAUUGGGAAUUUGCUGAUAGUUGUAAAGCAAUAUUUUGAGAAUCCCCGUGAUUGUGUUUCUAAGGCUUUGUUUGGAUUGCAUUUUUCUGAAUUUUUUAUAGAAAAAUUAUUGUAGCGAUUUGAUAUAUGGUAAAAAGGGGAUUGAAAAUUGUGUCCAUAGAAAAUAUAACAAUUUUUCCAACACACCAUAAAACUUUGUCUACCUAACAAAUAUUUCAAAAUUUUAAUUAGGGUUGAAUAUGAAAAGGAAGAAUAUGGAUAGGAAUGGCAAUUGGGGGCGAAUGCCCACGUGGGCUAAUGGGGCGAAACGGAAGAGAAUUUUUUCCUCCCAUUUAAAAAUGGGGUGGGGGGCAGGAGAGUAUACCCCCGCCCCUAAGGAUGGCAACGCGGCCACCCGUCCCGUGGGGAACUAAUGGGGCGGGGGGGAUUUUUUUUCUCCCGCCACCCGUUUUAAAAAAUAAAUAUAUAAAAUAUAUAUGUAUAUAUAUAUAUAAUAUAUAAUUAAAUUAGUUACAAACUUAUAAUAAUGAUAUUAUUAGUUAUAUGUAUUAUAUAAUGUAUAUUAAUAUAUGUAAUAUAAUUGAUAUUAUCAAUUAUACUAAUAAUUAUAUAUGUGUACUAAUACCAAUCAUUAAUUAGUUAUACUAAAUUUACUAAUAUAUUUAUACUAAAUCCCUAAUUACACUUAAUAUAAUAACAUUUUUUUCUCAAAAAAAUAGCACAAGUACAAUAAUGAAUUAAUGAUUGUAUUUGUGUCAAAAAUAAAAACUUGAAUACUUUAAUUGUAUUUAUUUCGUCAUGUUGGAUUGUAUUCAAAUAACUUUUGUUUGAUUGUUUUUAAAAGUUUCAAUUGUAAAAUUGUAAUGAAUAAUAAUUUGAUGAUGUGUUGAUAUUUUAAUACUUGAUUAUUUGCUAAAAUUUAACUAUAAUAAAAUUAUAUAACAUUUUUUUUAUUAGUCCCACGGGGGCACCCGCGAGGGAAGUGGGGCGGGGCGGGACAGGGAGGGGGCGGGGGGAGCAGGGGACGGGGAACGGGGCGGGGGACCCCGCCCCGUUGCCAUCCUUACCCGCCCUGCCACCCGUUAAGAAAAAUUAAUAAAUAUAUAUAAUAUUUAAUUUAAUUAGUUACAAACUUGUGAUAAUGAUAUUAUUAGUUAUAUGUAUUAUAUAAUGUAAUUAGUAUAUGUAAUAUAAUUGAUAUUAUCAAUUAUACUAAUAAUUAUACAUAUCUACUAAUUGAAAUUAUUAAUUAGUUAUACUAAAUUUACUAAUACAUUUAUACUAAAUUUCUAAUUAUACUUAACACAAUAACAUUUUUUUCUCAAAAAAAUCACAAUAAUGACUUAAUGAUUGUAUUUGUGUCAAAAGUGAACAAUUUAACUACUUUAGUUGUAUUUGUUUCAUCAUGUUGGAUUGAAUUCAAAUAAUUUUUAUUUAAUUAUUUUUAUGAGUUUUAAUUGUGAAAUUAUAAUGAAUAAUAACUUGAUAAUGUGUUAAUAUAUUAGUACUUGAUUAUUUGCUAAAAUUUAACUAUAAUGAAAUUAUAUAACAGAUUUUUAUUAAUUCCGUACGAGAAGUAGAGUGGAAUAGAGGAGCAAGAGGCGAGAGGCGAGAGGCGGGGCGGGGAUGGGGGAAUAAGUGGACAGCAGGCGGGGCGGUCCCCAUCCCAACCCCGCCCCAUUGCCAUUCCCAAAUUUGGAUUGGGUUGUGCAUGGCAGCCACAAUAAAGCUGCUGGCGCUGCUGCAUAACCGUGGGUCGUUUUGAAGAAGGUUCCAAGGUGAGUUGAUGAAUAUUUUGGGAAUUUAAAUGCUUAUUUUCGUUGACAUGGGUCAAGGAAACAAGCAGUCAACGUAUCUUGACUCACGGAAUGGGAUCUUUUGUUAUGAUAUUUCGAGUUUCAAGGGUUGUCCCGUUAUUUGGCCAAAUGUCAAGGUCUAAUUCGUAAUAUGGCUAAACCUUAAGGGAGGUAAAUAUAAUUAACCAACUCUAAAACUAUUCGAACCCUCGUCUCUCCUUUUUCUCACGGACCAUGCAAUCAAUUUGUAUCCAAAUCAACAUAUUGUAAAAACCAUUUGGAUGAGAAAUUAUAUGAAAUAUUAUUUGAAAUAAUUAUUGCGAAAUUUUUUAUGAUUCGAUUUAUGUGAGAUAAAAAACUUUUGAAAAUUAUAAUGGAGUUGGACAUCCUAGUUUUUUGAACUUUUUUUAUUAUACAAGUUUUCCAACAACUUAAACACCAUGAAAGUUUUCAAAAUACACAUUUCAAAACACCCAAAAAAUAUACACUUAUUUUUCCUCUUUUACCACCACCAUCUCAACCCACCAUCAUCACCGCCGCUGCCACCCCCUCAUCCUCCCCUCCUUUUUUUUCCCUUUCUCCCCCUCCCUCUCAUUUGCCCUCUCUCCUCCUCCUCUUCUUUUAUCGUCGCCACUUAGUUAUGAAUAUUUCAUCAUUCAAUUUGUACAAAACAUUUUUAACGGUGCAAAAUGGAUGAAAACAUUUUUGAUGAUACAAAAUGAAUCAAGACAUUUUUUGUGCAAAAUGGAUCAGAAUACAUUUGAACAUAUUUCUGUCCCCAAACAAAAGCCUUCAUUAUGAGCUCAUUUUAGAAAGGAUCCACUGGAUGCCUUUCUUAUCUAUCCCUAGAAGGGGAAAAAAGACAACAAUCAUGGUCAAAUACUACGUGAGAAACAAUUGCAGGACUUAAUUCCUGAUGAUUUCAAGGUUUUGAACAGAUAAACCCAGUACAAUCUAUCAAUGAAAAGGAAACAAUUUAUUUAUUUCAAAUUUCAAAUACUCAAAAGGAUGACAAGGAUUAGGAUCAAAUAGGCCUUUAUUAUCAUAUUUCAAGGUCACCAGAAUGAGAAAUACUCUGGUAAUCAAGGUAGAGAUAGACCUUGAGAAUGUUUUUCUUUUCAUAUUGAUUUUCUUCUAUUUAAAGAUAUGAAGUAUAGUAUUUUACAAUUUAGAGCCUCAACCGAAAAAGAAAAACCUUAAGCAGCACUAUAAAUGACAUUAAGAAUAGACAAAUUACUUAAAAUUUCUGGUUUUGUACUUAAAAGAGUAAACAAAUGCAAUAUUGUGUAUGAAUUUAAUUUUGAUUGGUUGGAAAAUCAACUAAUUUGGAAAUAACUCAAUUUCCAUAUAAAUUAGGCAUUUUUCAAAAACUUUACUAUAACUUUGUUUAUUAAAAACUUUAUAGUAUAUGAUGUAUUUUGAGUGUAUUCAUAAAUUUUAAAUUUUGUUGAGAUAUUUUUAAAAUUUUUUAAAACUUCUCUAUCACAACCAACUUCCACCCGUUUACCAGCUAUAUUGGUCACCGCACCUCUCAUCCAUUCUUUCUUUACUCCUGCUCUGGUUUUCUCUAUUAUCCUUCCUCUUUCUUUCCUCUCACUGGGAGGAUAGGACGAGUGCAUGAGGAAAGAGGGGAGGUUGAGGAAGAGGAGGAGGAUAGAGGGGAAAAGAGGAAGGGAGAUGAGGAUGCUAGGAAUAGGAGGUGGCGACAACCGUGUGUGGUGGGUGAAGGAAGAAAGAAGUGGUAGAGUUUUUUUUUUUUUUUUUUGUAUUUUUGGUCUCCUCCCUCUUGCUUUCCCUCAUUUUUUUCAAAAUUUUUUUGGUAUUUUUUGUCUCUCUCUUGCUUUCUCUCCCCACCUCUCUCCUUCUGGAGAAAAGGAGAGGAUGAAUGCAUAGAGAAGGAAGGGAAGAGAGAGAAAAGGAAGGAAGAAGAGGAAAAAGGAUGAUGAGGAUGAGGGAGAGAAAGGAUGGAAGGGAGAAAAGAGAAAAAGGGAGAGAUGUUGUUUGCAACAAGUAGCAUUGGUUUGUGUGGUUAAAGGCGAAAGAAAGAGAUGAUAACAUUUUUUUAACUUUUGAAAUUUUUUUUUAUAUUUUUGAUAGCAAUGCAUUUGGAUUGUUUUAAACAUGUAUUACUAUAAUAUUUUAUUUGAACAACAAAUCGCCUUCAUUUUCAAUAACAUUUGAAUCAAAAUAUUUUUGUAAAUCAAAAUAUUUUUGCAAUGUGGGUGGAAUGACUACUUCGAUCUUGUUCUUCAAAACUCCAAAGUGCAUGGGUUUAUAUGGUCAAAUCCUAGAAGGAAGUGCUUGUGAAACCACUAUUGAUGAUUCAAUCAAUUACUUCUUCGAAUUUAUUAAAACAUAGCCUAUAUCAUUUUCCCUCAUUGAUUUUAUUCUUUUCUUCUAUUAAAUGCCGAGUUCAGAUUGAAAUUUAUAAAUAAAAAAAAAAAGAAAAAAGAGUCUAGUAAUUAGAACAAUAAGAUACAAGAGCAAAACAAUUAUUUUAGACCGAUCGAAACCAAUACAAUACAAUUAAAUAGAACAAAUAAAUAUAAUUAUAUAGAUAUCUUGCCAAAACAUCCAAAUCAAAAGGUACGGUUUGCCGUCAAAUCAAAAGGUGCACAAUUAUAUCCAGAGGCAGCAAAACUCUUGAAUGCACCGAGCCGUUCCUCCAAUAUUUUUCCAAGUUGAGAAAAGGUUUCUGUGUUUCCUUUUAAUCUGCGGACCUCAUAUUUGCCAGAGACACGGUUUCCUGCUAAAUUGUUCUCAUACAAGGUGGAUUUUUCGUCUCUCUUCAAUGCCAAUGUGAGGACACUAGCACAUUUCAGCUUCACCAUGCAGAUGCAGACUCGCCACACAAUUUUAUCACAUUGUAUUCAGCAAACCAUAGAAGCCUGAUGAAAUCCUUUGCAAGUUAACGAACUUCUUUAAAUAUUCAAAAUCCUCACAGUAGAAACUACAUAAUCAAAAAGAAAAACUUGAUAGCAAGCAUAAAGUUCGCUGCCUAUUUAACCACAAAAUAUGGAGUCAAAAUUUCAAAUGAUUGAUCAAAACGAAUUGGGCCUCGUGGAUCACAAAGAUCUACAACAAAUCAUCUGCCACUACUUUUAAGGCUCUGUCAAUGGGU